UGAAUACAUUCAUAGUAUUCUCUUUUAAUUUGGUAAUUCCACAUUGUCAAAUAUUGACUGUUUUUAUAUUGGGUGUCCUACCUAGGUAGGGAGCCUCAAGCCUUUCACACAUCACUCUAUGGCAUAGAGUCUACGCCACAGAGUAGAGAGAAAAACGCAGUGAUUCUGCUGUCAUGAUAACUCACCCUGGUAGAACCACUACCACCUCAACAAAAUGGUUACUUACUAUUGAGUCCCAACUCUGGCAAUCUGAGAGCCAAUAAAAGGCUAGAAAUCAAGAAGAAUAUAGGGUACAGCCAUUAAAUAAAUAAAUAUAUAUAUAUACAUAUAUAUAUAUAUAUUUUUUUUUUUUUNNNNNNNNNN
rnacentral:lncRNA from 1 species